rnacentral:lncRNA from 1 species
UGUUGGCAAGUACUGUAGUUUUAUAUUAUUUAUUUUUUUAUUUAUACGAGUGGAUAUUAAAUUGAUAAUUCAGUGAGUCUAAUUAAUAAUGUGCAACCACUAAAGUGGAGAGUAAAUGUAAAUUAGCAAGACAAUCUCUCUCUCUCUCUCUCUCUCUCUCUCUCUGUCUUUUUUUUUUUUUUGCUGGAUGGAGGCGGAGACGUUUCGAUUUCAGCUUCAGAGAGCUCGCGCUUGAGUUUGUAUUCAGCGGGGUCGCGCUUGAGUGUGUCACGAGCAGUGCACAAUAUGUUUCGCUUAGUUGCGUGAGGUACUUGCCCGUGUAGCGCACAGCCCAAAGACGCAAAUUGCGUAUCUGGACGCUUAACAAAUUCAGACCCACUGAUGAAGGAACUGUUAGAGCAAAGCACUGUUACACACCCACCGAGACUGGAUACCAUUUUGACUGGGCGGCGAGGGACAGUAACGUGAUGACCGUGGAAUUUGCCAUCAUGACAGAGGAAGCCAGUGAGUGACCUUACACAGAGUGCUAACGCUGAGCCUCUGAGCACCGUUUCAUAAGAGAUUUUUUAUUUUUUUUAUUGCAUAUGUAUUUUAUCAUAGAACACUUAAAUGUAAAUUAAAAGAAUGAUUUGGUAAGAGUAAAAUGGGAGUAAUCUGUCUUGUUUAUAAUGUCAGCAGCAAUGCAGGUUUCAGUGGACAGAUGGAAGGCAGCCAUCAUCUGCACUGUUGUGGAAAUGUGUCUUACAAGAUCUCAGAAAGCUCCUGCUGUAAUGGAAAUGUAACUCUGGGAUUAAGCCAGCUGGUGACUGACUGUUGUGAUUCUGUAGCUUACAAUCCCCUUAAUGAGAUUUGCUGUAAUGGCAGCAUACUGACUCGAAGCAGCACUCACAUGAAAUGCUGUGGCAAAGUUAUGUACCUGACAACAACUCAUUUGUGUUGUGGUGGCGGCAACAUAUUUGAAUGGAAGGAAAAUCAUUCUUGUUGUGGCAAAGAAACGUAUGACAUGACAACCCACUGCUGCUGUACUAACCUUACACUAGAAGUAAAGCCUAAAAAUGAAACUUGCUGUCCAAAAGCAACAGACACUGAUGAAAGAACAGAAUGCCAGCAAGGCUCUCUUCCCACCCGAACACUCUCCAAAAACUCGGAAUUGAAGUGUGGAUCAACACCCUACAAUCCCCAGAAACAAAUUUGUUGCUCAGUGAAUAUUCAUGAGAAGGCUUCAGCACUUACUAAGUGCUGUGGCAAAGAUGUUUACACUCUGUCAGAUGACAAUGUGCUGUGCUGUAAUGGAAUCCUUCAUCUCAAUGUGCCUGAGCAGUCAGAGUGUGUUGGAGGUGUUAUAUAUACUCCACCAAACACUAUUUGCCAAAUGUCUGCUCGUCCCCGUCUUGGUAAGCACUGCUGUGGAGGACAAACCUUCAAUCCUCGCACACAUAUUUGCUGUAAUGGACACAGGUAGGCCUACAGAUUACAAAGAUUUGAUAUGAUUUAAAAGCAAAUUUUAUGCCAUAUUUACUAACAUUCUGUGCCAGCGCAAACCCUCUUUGGGCAUAAAACUGCUGUCCUGAUCAAUGUUCCCUCCAAGUUACACGCGUUCGUGGCCGUGCACUUCUUACAUCAUGACCACGCAGAAUAAAUAAUAUGUGCUGGCACA